GACGAACGCUGGCGGCGUGCCUAAUACAUGCAAGUCGAGCGGACAGAUAAGGAGCUUGCUCCUUUGAAGUCAGCGGUGGACGGGUGAGUAACACGUGGGCAACCUGCCUAUACGACUGGGAUAACUCCGGGAAACCGGGGCUAAUACCGGAUAGAUUCUUUCCUCUCAUGAGGAAAGAAGGAAAGAUGGGUUCGGCUAUCACUUAUAGAUGGGCCCGCGGCGCAUUAGCUAGUUGGUAAGGUAACGGCGUACCAAGGCGACGAUGCGUAACCGACCUGAGAGGGUGAUCGGCCACACUGGGACUGAGACACGGCCCAGACUACUACGGGAGGCAGCAGUAGGGAAUCUUCCGCAAUGGACGAAAGUCUGACGGAGCAACGCCGCGUGAACGAAGAAGGCCUUCGGGUCGUAAAGUUCUGUUGUUAGGGAAGAACAAGUACGAUAGUAACUGAUCGUACCUUGACGGUACCUAACCAGAAAGCCACGGCUAACUACGUGCCAGCAGCCGCAGUAAUAC
rnacentral:rRNA from 1 species